CAGGAUGAAGCUUAUUAGCUCAGCACUUCGCUUACACCGAAACUUUCCCCGUGCAAGUCGGGUCACCCUG
rnacentral:tRNA from 1 species